rnacentral:rRNA from 1 species
GAUGAACGCUGGCGGCGUGCCUAAUACAUGCAAGUCGAGCGAACAGACGAGGAGCUUGCUCCUCUGACGUUAGCGGCGGACGGGUGAGUAACACGUGGAUAACCUACCUAUAAGACUGGGAUAACUUCGGGAAACCGGAGCUAAUACCGGAUAAUAUAUUGAACCGCAUGGUUCAAUAGUGAAAGACGGUUUUGCUGUCACUUAUAGAUGGAUCCGCGCCGCAUUAGCUAGUUGGUAAGGUAACGGCUUACCAAGGCAACGAUGCGUAGCCGACCUGAGAGGGUAGUCGGCCACACUGGAACGGAGACACGGUCCAGACUCCUACGGGAGGCGGCAGUAGGGAAUCUUCCGCAAUGGGCGAAAGCCUGACGGAGCAACGCCGCGUGAGUGAUGAAGGUCUUCGGAUCGUAAAACUCUGUUAUUAGGGAAGAACAAAUGUGUAAGUAACUAUGCACGUCUUGACGGUACCUAAUCAGAAAGCCACGGCUAACUACGUG